rnacentral:rRNA from 1 species
CAGCCGCCACGGGAAUACGAAGGGUGCAAGCGUUACUCGGAAUUACUGGGCGUAAAGCGUGCGUAGGUGGUGGUUUAAGUCCGUUGUGAAAGCCCUGGGCUCAACCUGGGAAUUGCAGUGGAUACUGGGUCACUAGAGUGUGGUAGAGGAUAGUGGAAUUUCCGGUGUAGCAGUGAAAUGCGUAGAGAUCGGAAGGAACAUCUGUGGCGAAGGCGACUAUCUGGGCCAACACUGACACUGAGGCACGAAAGCGUGGGGAGCAAACAGGAUUAGAUACCCCAGUAGUCCCUGUCUCUUAUAA